UACGUAGGGUGCAAGCGUUAAUCGGAAUUACUGGGCGUAAAGCGUGCGCAGGCGGUUAUGUAAGACAGUUGUGAAAUCCCCGGGCUCAACCUGGGAAUUGCAUCUGUGACUGCAUAGCUAGAGUACGGUAGAGGGGGAUGGAAUUCCGCGUGUAGCAGUGAAAUGCGUAGAUAUGCGGAGGAACACCGAUGGCGAAGGCAUCCCCUGGACCUGUACUGACGCUCAUGCACGAAAGGCGUGGGAGCAAACAGG
rnacentral:rRNA from 1 species